rnacentral:rRNA from 1 species
UACGGAGGGUGCAAGCGUUAUCCGGAAUCACUGGGUUUAAAGGGUGCGUAGGCGGCCCGUUAAGUCAGGGGUGAAAUCCCGCCGCUCAACGGCGGAACUGCCCUUGAUACUGACGGGCUCGGAUGGGCACGAGGCAGGCGGAACGUGGCAUGUAGCGGUGAAAUGCUUAGAUAUGCCACAGAACACCGAUUGCGAAGGCAGCCUGCCAGAGCUCUAUCGACGCUGAGGCACGAAAGCGUGGGGAGCGAACAGG